rnacentral:tRNA from 1 species
GUGGGUGUAGCUGAGUGGUAGAGUGGUUUGCCUAUCACACAUAAGGCCCUGGGUUCUAUCCCCAGCACACCACA